CGGUAUCUGAAGGGGAAUUUCCAAAUCAGUAUUUAUUUAAUGAUUUAGGAAAAGUUAUUGUGCUUUCAGAUUAGAAACUAAGUGACUUGGGAUAGUUCUAACCAGAAUCCCCUAACUUGAGAACUUUUCCAUUGCAUAGAUAAUCCGAAACUGGGACAUCUCGUUCCUUACCCCAAUGCGUCAUAUAAGCUUUAGAUUAAAGAAUUAGGAUAAACCCUUUAAACUUUUCUUGUAAAUGCAUUGGAGUGCUGCAUUGGAGAUGUAUCAAGCUGAGUCUAUUUGAAGUCAGAUAUUGUGACACAAUCCUGCCUUAAGUUCUGAUCCGAUUAUGAAACAUCCUUUACUCUUCCAAAGAUUAAAUGGAAACUUAGAGAUUUCCCAAUUCUCGACUUCUCCAUUGCAAUACAAGGCAGUAACAAAUCGGGGAACACUUUGGA